GACGAACGCUGGCGGCGUGCUUAACACAUGCAAGUCGAGCGGUAAGGCCUUUCGGGGUACACGAGCGGCGAACGGGUGAGCAACACGUGGGUGAUCUGCCCUGCACUUCGGGAUAAGCCUGGGAAACUGGGUCUAAUACCGGAUAUGACCUCCUAUCGCAUGGUGGGUGGUGGAAAGAUUUAUCGGUGCAGGAUGGGCCCGCGGCCUAUCAGCUUGUUGGUGGGGUAAUGGCCUACCAAGGCGACGACGGGUAGCCGACCUGAGAGGGUGACCGGCCACACUGGGACUGAGACACGGCCCAGACUCCUACGGGAGGCAGCAGUGGGGAAUAUUGCACAAUGGGCGAAAGCCUGAUGCAGCGACGCCGCGUGAGGGAUGACGGCCUUCGGGUUGUAAACCUCUUUCAGCAGGGACGAAGCGCAAGUGACGGUACCUGCAGAAGAAGCACCGGCUAACUACGUG
rnacentral:rRNA from 1 species